AUACAUGAGGGCACCUGAUCAGCCAUGCCGCGUGAGUGAUGAAGGCCCUAGGGUUGUAAAGCUCUUUUGUGCGGGAAGAUAAUGACGGUACCGCAAGAAUAAGCCCCGGCUAACUUCGUGCCAGCAGCCGCGGUAAUGCUACGUGCCCGCCG
rnacentral:rRNA from 1 species